rnacentral:rRNA from 1 species
UACGUAGGGUGCGAGCGUUGUCCGGAAUUAUUGGGCGUAAAGAGCUCGUAGGCGGCUUGUCGCGUCGGAUGUGAAAGCCCGGGGCUUAACUCCGGGUCUGCAUUCGAUACAGGCAGGCUAGAGUUCGGUAGGGGAGAUCGGAAUUCCUGGUGUAGCGGUGAAAUGCGCAGAUAUCAGGAGGAACACCGGUGGCGAAGGCGGAUCUCUGGGCUGACCUUGACGCUGAGGCGCGAAGGCGUGGGGAGCGAACGGG